CGAAGAAACAUGUUCGCUUUGCCGUUUUCAUUCAUCAGAUUCGAAACGAAGACGUAUCAUCGCAUCGAAACGUAGAAGAACUGUAACGACUGGAACAGAGCGAGUGAAAUGCAUCCAUCCGUUUGAGCGAGGCUGGACAUAAAGUUAAAAAGAUCAGGCAGACACUUGGAGUCGGAAAGACGCAAAUCUACGAAACUUUAAAAAACAAGGCAUCGAUUCAACUCCUGAUGACAAGCCACCAUCCAGCAAGGAAGCAAUGCGAAUGGCAACAAAAAUCCUUCAGUAUGCACAAGAAUUACCAGACAUCGGUGAUCAACGGGACAGUUACUUGCAACUAGCAAGAAAAACUGUAUGACACGCAGGCAAACAUUGUCAUAAACCAAAGAAUGCAUCCAACAAAACAAUCCAAAAUACACAUUUUUUUCCCAAGACAGAAAAAAAUAAACAUUAAAAUACUGUAUGUAUUU